CUGUUUUCCAAUCCAAAAAACUCUAAAGUUCUCAUUCCCUCUCAGUCUGAAAACUCGAUUAACAACUCAAUCUUUAGACAAAAUCUCGAUUCAUUUUAAGUAAAGAAGAUUUCUCGAUUAAAUCAAGCAAACCAUCUCGUUUUAGGUGAAGAAGGUUACAGUGUUCGCUUAAUCUAGGGUUCUUAGAAAAAUUUCUUUGUUUUGUGAGGUUAGUUUGCUAUAAUGGAGAGACUUUACCUAUGGGUUUUAUUUAAUUUUUGUUUUGCUUCUUAGAUAUGGGUUUUAGAGUUUUCUGAUGAUGAUGACUUGAUGUUCUCCCUUAACAAAAAAAACCCAGGUAUGAAGGAACAUGAUGAUUUAGCUCAUAGAAAAGUAUAUGUUGCUCAAAAGGGGCUUGUCAAAUAUCUUCAGUGGUUAUAGGUAUGAGGGUGAAUGGCUGCAGAACAAUAUGAUUAAGUUGAUGCUCUUCAGUGCUAUCUUUCCAACUGAGAUACAG